GAAAAUCGAAAGGGGCAAUAGAAGCAAAAACAGCGUGAAAGAAACACACAGCUUCAAGUUAUAUCUAUGUUUAGGAGGAAUAGCAGCUCUCUUCAUGCUACUGUUUAUGGCAGCAUUAAUUAUCAACAUCAACAUGAAACGACGCAAAGUUUAUUCUGCAGCAUUGGCAGCCGAACAGAGUC